rnacentral:rRNA from 1 species
GGGGGGGGGGGGGGGGGGGGGGGGGGGGGGGGGGGGGGGGGGGGGGGCGGGGGGGGUGGGGCGGGGGGGUUAGCGGCGGGAGGGUGGGUGGCGGGUGGGGACCCGACCUGGGGGGCGGGGGUACCUGGGAGAAGCCGGCGCUCAUAGCGUGGACUUGAUUUAACCGCCUGGAUCACGAGCGAGUCACAGGUGUGCUGUAGCAUGUAGAGUGUACAGCGCCGCAUUAGCUAGUUGGUAAGGUACCGUAUUACCAAGCCAACGAUGCGUAGCCUACCUGAGAGGGUGAUCGGCAACCCUGGAAUGGAGACACGGUCCAGACUCCUACGAGAGGCAGCAGUAGGGAAUCUUCAGCAAUGGGCGAAAGCCUGACGGAGCAACGCCGCGUGAGUGAUGAAGGUCUUCGGAUCGUAAAACUCUGUUAUUAGGGAAGAACAAAUGUGUAAGUAACUAUGCACGUCUUGACGGUACCUAAUCAGAAAGCCAGGGCUAACUCCGUG